UACGGGGGGAGCAAGCGUUGUCCGGAAUUAUUGGGCGUAAAGAGCUCGUAGGCGGUUUGUCGCGUCUGCUGUGAAAUCCCGAGGCUCAACCUCGGGCCUGCAGUGGGUACGGGCAGACUUGAGUGGUGUAGGGGUGAGACUGGAAUUCCGUGGUGUAGCGGUGGAAUGCGCAGAUAUCAGGAGAAACACCGAUGGCGAAGGCAGGUCUCUGGGCACUUACUGACGCUGAGGAGCGAAAGCGUGGGGAGCGAACAGG
rnacentral:rRNA from 1 species